AUUCUAUCCUUUUGUUUUCAACUUCAUACUGCAACCAAUCAUUUGAAGUUUUGUUGACAUAAACCAUUCUUACAUAAAAUGAAAUACUAUUAGGCACACCCUUCCCCGUUGCACCAGGUUCAGAAUUGGCUUCAAAAGCUGAUAUGGAACUACUCCAGCACCAGAUUUGUUCUUCAGAUUUACAUCUUCAUUUCUAGCAUUAAUAAUUUCUGCAAUCUCUUUCAGUUUCCCACUAAACUGUUGGAAU
rnacentral:lncRNA from 1 species